CCUACGGGUGGCUGCAGUGGGGAAUAUUGCACAAUGGGGGAAACCCUGAUGCAGCGACGCCGCGUGAGUGAAGAAGUAAUUCGUUAUGUAAAGCCCUAUCAGCAGGGAAGAAAAUGACGGUACCUGUGUAAGAAGCCCCGGCCAACUACGUGCAAGCAGCCGCGGGAAAACGGAGGGGGCAAGGGUUAUCCGGAUUUACUGGGUGCAAAGGGAGCGUAGACGGCAGUGCAAGUCUGGAGUGAAGGGCGGGGGCUCAACCCCCGGACUGUUCUGGAAACUGUACGGCUGGAGUGCAGGAGAGGUAGGUGGAAUUCCUGGUGUAGCGGUGAAAUGCGUAGAGAUUAGGAGGAACACCAGUGGCGAAGGCGGCUUACUGGACUGUGACUGACGUUGAGGCUCGAAAGCGUGGGGAGCAAACAGGAUUAGAUACCCUAGUAGUC
rnacentral:rRNA from 1 species